rnacentral:rRNA from 1 species
UGGGGAAUUUUGGACAAUGGGCGAAAGCCUGAUCCAGCAAUGCCGCGUGUGUGAAGAAGGCCUUCGGGUUGUAAAGCACUUUUGUCCGGAAAGAAAUCCUUGGCUCUAAUACAGUCGGGGGAUGACGGUACCGGAAGAAUAAGCACCGGCUAACUACGUGCCAGCAGCCGCGGUAAUACGUAGGGUGCAAGCGUUAAUCGGAAUUACUGGGCGUAAAGCGUGCGCAGGCGGUUUGCUAAGACCGAUGUGAAAUCCCCGGGCUCAACCUGGGAACUGCAUUGGUGACUGGCAGGCUAGAGUAUGGCAGAGGGGGGUAGAAUUCCACGUGUAGCAGUGAAAUGCGUAGAGAUGUGGAGGAAUACCGAUGGCGAAGGCAGCCCCCUGGGCCAAUACUGACGCUCAUGCACGAAAGCGUGGGGAGCAAACAGGAUUAGAUACCCUGGUAGUCCACGCCCUAAACGAUGUCAACUAGUUGUGGGAUUCAUUCCUUAGUAACGUAGCUGACGCGUGAAGUUGACCGCCUGGGGAGUAC